GAUGAAGAACGCAGCGAAAUGCGAUACUUGGUGUGAAUUGCAGAAUCCCGUGAACCAUCGAGUCUUUGAACGCAAGUUGCGCCCGUAGCCAUUAGGCCGAGGGCACGCCUGCCUGGGCGUCACACGUCGUUGCCCCCCCAUCUACUCCUUCGGGAUUGCGGGGGGCGGAUGAUGGCCUCCCGUGCGCCUCGUCGCGCGGUUGGCAUAAAUGCCAAGUCCUCGGCGACGCACGCCACGACAAUCGGUGGUUGCGAAACCUCGGUUGCCCGUCGUGUGCGGUCGUCGCGCAUCGAGGGCUCGAAAAAAUUGCCGGGCUCCGGCUCGGCUUUCAACGCGACCCCAGGUCAGGCGGGGUUACCCGCUGAAUUUAAGCAUAUCAAUAAGCGGAGGA
rnacentral:misc_RNA from 1 species